GAUGAAGAACGUAGCGAAAUGCGAUACUUGGUGUGAAUUGCAGAAUCCCGUGAACCAUCGAGUCUUUGAACGCAAGUUGCGCCCGAAGCCAUUAGGCCGAGGGCACGUCUGCCUGGGCGUCACACAACGUUGCCCCCCCAAGCCUCGACUUCCAAGAGGACGGGGGGCGGAUGCUGGCCUCCCGUGUGCCACGGCUCGCGGUUGGCCUAAAUGCGAGUACUCGGCGACGAGCGCCGCGGCAAUCGGUGGUUGUCUAACCCUCGGUGCCAUGCUGCGCGCGCGAUUCGCUCACUGUUACUCGACGACCCCAAUGCGUCGUAGACACGACCCUCACAACGCGACCCCAGGUCAGGCGGGGCUACCCGCUGAGUUUAAGCAUAUCAAUAAGCGGAGGA
rnacentral:misc_RNA from 1 species